GACUUUUUUUCAGUCUCUUGUGCUUUACCCAGUACGAAGCAGUUGGUUUGCUGUUGAGAUUUACCAUCCACUAUCAUUUGUUUUCAACUCUUCAAACACAGAAACAGGGACAAUGCACCAAACUUAUUGAUAUGAAUGUGGUCUCUUCAUCGCUGCCAUUUAUCCCCAGAAGGAGGCGGAAUCCAUACUAGACUUGAUGUUGCUGUUGUUCUCUCUCUUGGAUUCGGUCACCAAGUUGGCCUCGCCCUUCUGCAGGCGUCUCCUCUGUGCUGACUUCUGCUGUUUGGAGAGCUGCCUGCGCACCUUCUGACGGACUACCUCCUGCAGCACACAAAACAAUAGCAGCUUACUACGGAUGAAUUUGCCUCGUCGUCGUCACUCUCCUCUUCAUCGUCGUCCUCUUCUUCGGGUCCAGCUGGGUGUAGCAAUGCACUAUCUCUCUCCAUGUCUUUGGUGAAGCCGCUAGCUGAUACUUCAACAUCUAGAGAACAGGAACGCCUGUAGGGAUAAACAAUGACAACAGAAGAUCAAGUUCCUGAAAGAGGUACGACCCAACCUGUGAAGCUUCAGAGCGUACUGCUCGUCGUUGGGACUCGCCACAAUAUAUAUGUCUAAAGAAAGCGAACAAAAUCAAAUGCUUUUAUGAGCAUCAGAAUUUCUGACUUUGGAACAGAUGUCAUUCAUAUCGAAACCCAAGGAACCAUGUCAUUCAUAUCGAAACCCAAGGAACCAUAAGUCUGAGGCUGCAUUAGACUUCCCAGUAUUUCUUUAAUUAUAGAUAUAAAAAUCAAUGUCUAUUAAAAAUUACCACAGGGAUUUGUAGCAAGAAAAUCUAAUAGAAUAUAGCAGAAAACAUUUUGAUUUUAUUUGAAAUUUCCCGUUAGACUAAACAUGUUUUUGGUAAGAUUUCAUGACAUUUCAAUUUCAUACAUUUUAAACAUUUGCCUUAUCCGAGUUUCAUACAUUAUAUAUCUUUAGAAAUGAAUGUGCAAUUCUCCGGGGAUGAAUGUAAUUAAGAUCAACAUUCUUUGCUUAUGUGAACCAUUAUCAUACAUACUGUAUAAAUAAAUAGAAAAAACAUCUUG